rnacentral:lncRNA from 13 species
AAAUUCAGAAACAACACGAGCACACAGCCAUGUAUGCUUUCCAAAUACAUGGCUCUGCACACUCUAACACGCGCGCGCGCGCGCACACACUCACGGUUGGUUGGACUUCUUAGCCUGUGACACUACCCGGAAAUAGAAUACAGACCGGAAGCUACCAUUUUAACUCGAAGAACAUUAGCAGCCGUAGGCAUAGUCCAUAGACGGGGACACCUAAAAUUGACACGGGGCGGAAAAUAUUUGACCGAAGAAAAAUUAUGAAAAUACGACAAACACUCAAGAAAGGGCUAAUUUCGGUAAAUUCGAAGAGUUAACGAUUCAAGCAUCGAAACUACCGCUUCAAACAAGGGACAUAUCUGAAUUAGCAGGCCAACCCAGCGGAAAUAGUUUUUGUUAACGAGUCGAAAACAGCCCUCCUCGGCCGAUGGAGAGGCAGGCCUUUGAAAAUAUUUGUCCCUGGAUGAAGAAAAAUGGCUAUCUGACAUAAAUAAGUUUUCACGGCGUACCCCGCGCCAUUUUUAUCCUAUUUUUUUUUUUAUUUUAACGUUUUGACAGGCGAUUUUAAUGGUAAUUAUAAGGUUAGCUAGCUAAAAAAAAGACAGCUAUCAAGCUAUCUGUUAGCUUGGUAGCUAGGUUAGCUUAGCAGCCGCUACCUAUGCAACCAGGUUUUCAAACGACAUUUACAUGUAUUAGCUAACAACGACAUGAUUGAAAGACUCCUUUAUUCAGAUCCAAUUUAAUUUUUAUUGCUGCUUUGGUUGACAAUUCUACUCAACCACCUAUAAAAACAAAGUAAUGUUAGCCUGCUAACGUUGGUUAGCUAAUGACGAAUGCCGCGCUACUAAUUUUGGAAUUUCGCCACCACCUGCAAUUUUGGUGGGUUUUCAAGUUAGUCUAGCUAACUUAGCUACCCACCAGAAGAUCAAUGGAAGCAGACCCAUUCGUUUCUACUUGUAAACACGUUUUGGUCUUCAAUCAAGCAGAAAGUGCUACACCAGUCUCCAGCCCAUAUACAUCCCACCAAACCUGUUGAUGCGGAACGGCAAUAUCGACGGAUGCGGGGGAGAUUACCAACGGGAAAUAAAACUCUAAUAUCUUAUGUUUCACCGAGUCGUGGCUGAACGACGACAUGGAUAACAUACAGCUGGCGGGUUUUAAUCUUUUUCGGCAAGGAUAGCACAGCGGCCUCUGGU